GACGAACGCUGGCGGCGUGCUUAACACAUGCAAGUCGAACGGAAAGGCCCCUUUGGGGGUACUCGAGUGGCGAACGGGUGCGUAACACGUGAGUAACCUGCCCUUGACUUCGGGAUAACUUCAGGAAACUGGGGCUAAUACCGGAUAGGAAUCCUUGCUGCAUGGUGGGGGUUGGAAAGCUUCGGCGGUUUUGGAUGGACUCGCGGCUUAUCAGCUUGUUGGUGGGGUAGUGGCUUACCAAGGCUUUGACGGGUAGCCGGCCUGAGAGGGCGACCGGCCACAUUGAGUCUGAGAUGCGGCCCAGACUCCUACGGGCGGCAGCAGUGGGGAAUAUUGCACAAUGGGCGGAAGCCUGAUGCAGCAACGCCGCGUGCGGGAUGACGGCCUUCGGGUUGUAAACCGCUUUCAGCAGGGGCGAAGCUUGUGGUGACGGUACCUGCAGAAGAAGCACCGGCUAACUACGUG
rnacentral:rRNA from 1 species